rnacentral:rRNA from 1 species
UACGAAGGGGGCUAGCGUUGCUCGGAUUGACUGGGCGUAAAGGGCGCGUAGGCGGUUCGUACAGUCAGACGUGAAAUUCCUGGGCUCAACCUGGGGGCUGCGUUUGAUACGUGCGGACUUGAGUGCGGAAGAGGGUCGUGGAAUUCCCAGUGUAGAGGUGAAAUUCGUAGAUAUUGGGAGGAACACCAGUGGCGAAGGCGGCUCACUGGACCGGUACUGACGCUGAUGCGCGAAAGCGUGGGAGCAAACGGG